AUUGAACGCUGGCGGCAGGCCUAACACAUGCAAGUCGAGCGGAUGAAGGGAGCUUGCUCCUGGAUUCAGCGGCGGACGGGUGAGUAAUGCCUAGGAGUCUGCCUGGUAGUGGGGGAUGACGUCCGGAAACGGGCGCUAAUACCGCAUACGUCCUGCGGGAGAAGGUGGGGGAUCUUCGGACCUCACGCGCUCAGAUGAGCCUAGGUCGGGUUACUUAGUUGGUGGGGUAAAGGCCUACCAAGGCGACGAUCGGUAACUGGUCUGCGAGGAUGGUCAGUCACAGUGAAGCUGAGACACGACACAGACACCGAGGGGAGGCCGAGACGGGUAAGGGAGGCAGAUGGGCGAAAGCCUGAUCCAGCCAUGCCGGGUGGGUGCAGAAGGUCUGCGGGUGGUAAAGCGGUUUACGUUGGGAGAAAGGGCAGUAAGUUAAAACCUGGCUGUGUGAACGUAACCAACAAAAUAGGCACGGGUUAAUAUCGU
rnacentral:rRNA from 1 species